AUAUACUAUACCUGACCAUGGUCUUUCAAUUCGGGUUUCGCGGUAUUCGAACACGUACCAAUAGCAGUUGUUCGUUGUCGUCGAAACCUGCUUUGAAAGAUAGUUUUGCAUCUGAUAUUUUUG
rnacentral:precursor_RNA from 8 species